rnacentral:rRNA from 1 species
UACGUAGGGGGCAAGCGUUGUCCGGAUUCAUUGGGCGUAAAGAGCUCGUAGGCGGUGUGUCACGUCGGCCGUGAAAACCUGCAGCUUAACUGUGGGCGUGCGGUCGAUACGGGCAUCACUGGAGUUCGGCAGGGGAGACUGGAAUUCCUGGUGUAGCGGUGAAAUGCGCAGAUAUCAGGAGGAACACCGGUGGCGAAGGCGGGUCUCUGGGCCGAUACUGACGCUGAGGAGCGAAAGCGUGGGGAGCAAACAGG